GCACCGGACCCUUUGUGAAAUCGUAGCGAUACUUCGUGAAAUUGAAAGAUAACAUGGAUAGACCUGAAUGAAUAGCACUAGCUUCGCUUUGAUCCGCAUUGAACUAUAGCCCAAACCCUUUCAUUGGGUGAGGAGGGCUGACAGCAGUGC